rnacentral:misc_RNA from 1 species
UCUCCGUUGGUGAACCAGCGGAGGGAUCAUUACAGAGUCGUAAAACACUCCCAAACCCAUGUGAACUUACCAUUGUUGCCUCGGCAGAAGUUAUAGGUCUUCUUAUAGCUGCUGCCGGUGGACUUUUAAACUCUUGUUAUUUAUAGUAAUCUGAGCGUCUUAUUUUAAUAAGUCAAAACUUUCAACAACGGAUCUCUUGGUUCUGGCAUCGAUGAAGAACGCAGC